rnacentral:rRNA from 1 species
GAUGAACGCUGGCGGCGUGCCUAAUACAUGCAAGUCGAGCGAAUGGAUUAAGAGCUUGCUCUUAUGAAGUUAGCGGCGGACGGGUGAGUAACACGUGGGUAACCUGCCCAUAAGACUGGGAUAACUCCGGGAAACCGGGCUAAUACCGGAUAACAUUUUGAACCGCAUGGUUCGAAAUUGAAAGGCGGCUUCGGCUGUCACUUAUGGAUGGACCCGCGUCGCAUUAGCUAGUUGGUGAGGUAACGGCUCACCAAGGCAGCGAUGCGUAGCCGACCUGAGAGGGUGAUCGGCCACACUGGGACUGAGACACGGCCCAGACUCCUGCGGGAGGCAGUAGUAGGGAAUCUUCCGCAAUGGACGAAAGUCUGACGGAGCAACGCCGCGUGAGUGAUGAAGGCUUUCGGGUCGUAAAACUCUGUUGUUAGGGAAGAACAAGUGCUAGUUGAAUAAGCUGGCACCUUGACGGUACCUAACCAGAAAGCCACGGCUAACUACGUGCCAGCAGCCGCGGUAA